rnacentral:lncRNA from 1 species
GACAUGGCUCCACGUGGUUGCGGAUGUGUGGAAAUUCACGUGUGACCCAUAAGUGGGGUCUCACGUGCGGGGGAGUGUUGGAACCCUCAGUCCCACAUCGGACAGAGGGAGAAGAAAAUAGUGCUUUAAAUAGAAAUACCCCUCUCUAACUAACAUCGAGGCCUUUUGUGAUAAAACCCCACACCUGAGGAUUGUGCAGGUGGUUA